rnacentral:snoRNA from 1 species
UUGGAUUAUGUGAUGAUAUAAUAGUUCAGAUGAACUACUUUGAUAUGUAUUCUUAUGUCUUUCGCUCCUAUCUGAUAAGCAUG